GUCAGUGUGGAGGAGUUCACUGCGCACACCCUACGACUGUUCACUUCCUAAUUCUCUCUCUCACUGCCCGCCACCUCCCUCGUGUCUCCCUCUGCGAGAAACCCUAAUUCAAUCAGUCACACUACACCACACAAGAUAUUCGGAUUGGAUUCGCGCCACUUCUUAGCUCCUCAUGUCUGCUGCAUCAGGGGUUAUUUCUAAUUAGAUGCAGUAUCUGUCAAGAGAGGCCUUCCGUCUUCCCACUGUAAUAAUUGGUAGUGUUUCUUAUUCAAGAAUCGUCAGUACUAUGAGAGAAGUGAAGGUUAAAGGAGUGUCUGGGUUUUGUUCUCUGGAUUCUGGUGGAGAAUCUCACAUCUUACAAUCUGAGUCAGCUAGUGAAAGCCAUAGACAUUCAUCCUUAAAUGUGCAGUUCACUCCUGAAAUAGAAAAGAAAUUAGUAGCUGGAAUGAAAGACGCUGUAAUCGUUGAUCGAUUUUUUUGACAAAUCCAACUGGCGUAUUGCUCUCGAAAACGUUAUGAUAACCGGAACCAAUUAACCAAUGCGGGUUAAGGUUAGCCAGUGAGUGUGCAGCCUGAAACAACAAAAAGGUGCAGCAGCAGAAGAUGCACAAAACAGUGAGCUCUCCUGAAAACUUGUUUGUUUCCAAUGUGCCAUAGAAUAAAACUGCUUUGUGACUGGGGAAUUGCUGUUGAAUGCCUUUAUUAGAGGUGGUUUACAUUCUGCAGUUGCAGUAGUCAGCUGUGGUUGAUAUUGUUUUAUGCACAUGGAAAGAAGGAUCAACAUUAUUUUGAUUUAUUGUUUGUA